rnacentral:tRNA from 4 species
GGAGAGCUGGCCGAGCUGGUCGAAGGCGCCUGACUCGAAAUCAGGUGUACCGGCAACGGUACCGGGGGUUCGAAUCCCUCGCUCUCCGCCA